rnacentral:lncRNA from 1 species
CAAAACAGAGGCUAUGACGGCUCCUUGUCAGAUCUCUGGUCGUGUGGGGUGAUCCUCUACGUGAUGCUUGUUGGCUGCCUUCCCUUCGACGACAGGAACCUCGUCGUUCUUUAUCAGAAGGUUGGCAUAUAUCAGUACAAAGCAAGCUCUGGAAUUUUAGCAAAUCUACACAAGCUCUGAGAUUGCUCUGUGGGUGUUACAGAUUUUCAAGGGAGACUGUCAGAUCCCCAAGUGGCUUUCGCCUGCCGCGCAGGACCUUCUCAAGAGGAUCCUCCAACCGAAUCCGAUGAAGAGGAUCAACGUCGCGGGGAUCAGGGAGCACGAGUGGUUCAAGAAGGACUACGUGCCUGCUGUUCCGCACGAUGAUGACGAAGACGU